rnacentral:rRNA from 1 species
GACGAACGCUGGCGGCGUGCUUAACACAUGCAAGUCGAACGAUGAAGCUGGAGCUUGCUCCGGUGGAUUAGUGGCGAACGGGUGAGUAACACGUGAGCAAUCUGCCCUUGACUCUGGGAUAACUGCGGGAAACUGUAGCUAAUACCGGAUAUGAGGCUCGAAGGCAUCUUCGGGUCUGGAAAGAAUUUCGGUCAAGGAUGAGCUCGCGGCCUAUCAGCUUGUUGGUGGGGUAAUGGCUCACCAAGGCGACGACGGGUAGCCGGCCUGAGAGGGUGACCGGCCACACUGGGACUGAGACACGGCCCAGACUCCUACGGGAGGCAGCAGUGGGGAAUAUUGCACAAUGGGCGAAAGCCUGAUGCAGCAACGCCGCGUGAGGGAUGAAGGCCUUCGGGUUGUAAACCUCUUUUAGCAGGGAAGAAGCGGAAGUGACGGCACCUGCAGAAAAAGCACCGGCUAACUACGUGCCAGCCGCCGCGGUAA